CUAUAUCGAUCUCCGAUCCACAGAAGAUGCUCUCCGCUUCGAGUUAGGCCAAGAACGACCGUGGCUACCUUCCCUCGCCGACGCGGUUGGACGGUCGUCAUUCUUCGAGUGAUUGCUGGUGUAAAUCUUCCAAGCCGCGACACUGUGCUCAAAAGAUCGACAAGAGAUAAAAACCUAGGAAUAGCACAAACAGUUCCAGUUGGAUUGAUAAAAUCCUUAGUUUGAAGACCCUUAAUUGUGCAUGAUCUUUUAACAGCAAAAAUCACAGAACAAACAAGCAUUUCCCCAAAACUACAUCUUGGAGGAAGUUUUUCCUGUAUCUGAGAAGAUAUCAAAUACUGUAGAAUGAAUUCAACAAACUCUUUUGUGACUCCUUGCCGAGCAAAGCAAGAUAGCAUUCAAGUUGAUGUUAAAGAACGGCAGCCCCUCCCAAACCUAAUCGGGGUUGUUCGAGGACGAACAAUGAUGCAAUUGUGAGGAGGGAAGUUUAAUUGUUACAACAAAUAUUUUUGUAAAUUUGAGUGCAACAAGAUAAAUCAUGGGAGUUUUCACUUGUUUCCCCUUCGUACUAAA